rnacentral:rRNA from 1 species
CGGCUAACUCCGUGCCAGCAGCCGCGGUAAUACGGAGGAUGCGAGCGUUAUCCGGAUUCAUUGGGUUUAAAGGGUGCGUAGGCGGUUUUUUAAGUCAGUGGUGAAAUCCUGCGGCUCAACCGUAGAACUGCCAUUGAUACUGAAAAACUUGAAUAUAGUUGAGGUAGGCGGAAUGAGUAGUGUAGCGGUGAAAUGCUUAGAUAUUACUCAGGACACCGAUUGCGAAGGCAGCUUGCUAAGCUAUAAUUGACGCUGAGGCACGAAAGCGUGGGGAUCAAACAGGAUUAGGUACCCUGGUAGUCCACGCCGUAAACGAUGUUCACUCGCUGUUUGCGAUAUACAGUAAGCGGCCAAGCGAAAGCAUUAAGUGAACCACCUGGGGAGUACGUCGGCAACGGUG